rnacentral:rRNA from 1 species
UACGGAGGGGGUUAGCGUUGUUCGGAACGACUGGGCGUAAAGCGCGCGUAGGCGGACCUGCAAGUCGGGGGUGAAAUCCCGGGGCUCAACCCUGGAAUGGCCUUCGAGACUGCCGGUCUUGAGUUCGAGAGAGGUGGGUGGAAUUCCGAGUGUAGAGGUGAAAUUCGUAGAUAUUGGGUGGAACACCGGUGGCGAAAGCGGCUCUCUGGUCCGGACCUGACGCUGAGGCGCGAAAGCGUGGGGAGCAAACAGG